rnacentral:rRNA from 1 species
UGAGGAAUAUUGGACAAUGGGCGCAAGCCUGAUCCAGCCAUGCCGCGUGCAGGAUGACGGUCCUAUGGAUUGUAAACUGCUUUUGUACAGGAAGAAACAGUUCUACGUGUAGAACCUUGACGGUACUGUAAGAAUAAGGAUCGGCUAACUCCGUGCCAGCAGCCGCGGUAAUACGGAGGAUCCAAGCGUUAUCCGGAAUCAUUGGGUUUAAAGGGUCCGUAGGCGGUUAGAUAAGUCAGUGGUGAAAGCCCAUCGCUCAACGGUGGAACGGCCAUUGAUACUGUCUGACUUGAAUUAUUAGGAAGUAACUAGAAUAUGCAGUGUAGCGGUGAAAUGCUUAGAGAUUACAUGGAAUACCAAUUGCGAAGGCAGGUUACUACUAAUGGAUUGACGCUGAUGGACGAAAGCGUGGGUAGCGAACAGGAUUAGAUACCCUAGUAGUCCCUGAGCGGGCUGGCAAGGCGCAU